CUCUGGUUUUUCGUUAGCUGUACAAGGAAUUCCCUUCGCAUCCAAUGACCAGAACAGACGUACACAGAUUGACUUACCACACACAUCUGAGACUUCUUCAGUGGCGACAUCAGAAUAUUCAGAAAACCAUCAGAAUCUGCAGUUACAAACCAGUAAGGCUAACUUCAGUCUGACAUUAUAAAGAGAUAAAAACAGAACAGAAACAGUUCUAAUGUAAAUGUUGAAGAGAGUUAAAAUUGAAAAAAGUUAAACACAUAAUAAAGCUUAUUCAGAUGGUAAAGAAUUCUAAAUACUAAUAAACUGUGUUUUUUCUUUGGCUGUUGCAGGUAUAGUUGCAGAAAGAAACAGCUCUGGUUUUUCAGCUGUACAAGGAUUCCCUGCAUCCAAUUGGUACUUGCUGAGAUUAUGUCCAAACUGCCGUUCUCUCCGGUGUUCAAACGAAGCCUCGCUCCCUGCCUACGUUCUAAGCGCAGUCGACUGCGCCUACGGAACAAAGAGUGAGAAUCAGAUACUGACAUCAGCCAAGAAAGAGAUGGAAAUAGAGACAAUAUUUGUGAAAAGGUGGACACUGAAAUAAAGGAGGGCAGUGGAUGUACUGGUAAAGAGAAUAGUCUGAAAAGAAUGAGAAAAUAUGGUAAGAUGAAAGAGAAGGACUAUGAAAAGAAAAAAGAAAGAGAAAAUGAGAGGAUUCCACGUGAGAUGGAGAAGAUCCAAGAUAGACUAGUAGGAAUAAGAACAGCUGGUAAAACUGCUAAGCCAUCACAAGAACUAGAGAAUGAUGGGAAAAGAGAGGGAAUUUGUGAAUUGAACUGCUCUGUGAGCCAAUCAGAUAACAAACUGCCAAUGGUUUCAGUUGAAGAAAAGCAUUUAGAAAUUCAGAACGUUCACUGUAGCCAGGAAAAAGUUAAUGUUGUGGAGAAAUUACACUCAGAUCCAGCUGUGUCUAUCCAAACCUCAUCUCUCCCUCAGUUAACUGAGGCAGUACAUAUUACUGACAAAUCAGAAGAGAUGCUUAAACAAACUAACUCAGAUAAGGGAUAUGAUGACAGGACAGACAUUAAACAAUCCUCAUUUACAUCUGGCGUUCUGGACUCUUGCACACUGGUUGAGGGUUUACCAUUUCCAGUGGAGUAUUAUAUUUGGACUACAAGGCACAUGGCUGCAUCUCACAGUCCUGUUGAUCUAGAUGCUGUCAUUUACAGCCAGCUCACUGGGGGGCGGGGCAGACGCAGGCUCAGCCAAUCGCAAACAAGUGGUAGAGGUCACAUAACCCCAGAGCAUCCAGUCUGCAGGUCCAUCAAUCAGACCAGAUGUGGAGGAAAAGGUCAGAAAGGGAGGAGAGGCCAUCGAAGAAGCACUGUAGGUAGGGCUUCAUGCGGCAAAGCUGCCCUUGAUUGUACAAUAUCACAUCCUGCAAGUGAUUCUCAAGCAGUUUUGGAGUCUGUUAUGGAAUCAAAGUCCACGUCUCAAACUGAAUCACCCAGCCAAUCAGAAUUGGACCUUGAAAGGCUAGAGGCAGAGUAUCAGCCAGUCCAGUCUCCUGGGCCUUCAGUGAGUUUAAAGCCAAGUCCAGAGCAAGGAGUUACUCAAGAUUUUAAGCAUCUCCCAGACUCUCAGCUUUACUUUGAUUCCCAACCCCUCUCAGAUUCAAAUUUGUACCCUAUUUUCAGAAGAAAACAUGGCCAAACUGGAAGAGAGUCUGAGACAAGUACAAAUAAAGAUGAUCAUUCACUUCUUCUGCCAUCAUUAGCUUCACUCAUUCAAGCUCUUCAACAAAAACUGGACUGCUGGCUGCUAUUGAUUUCCAGGACUUCCAACUACCUGAUGAAGAUUUUGGACAACUAAAGUUAGAAAGAUUAUGCUUGUCCACUUCAGCUGUGGAACCCUUUGCACAGUGUCCCCUAGUGUACAACACACGGCAGAGCAGCAGGCGCCAGAGAGCCAAUGGGAGAAAAAUAAUUGUGAAGCAUGUUACUCAGUGGGUGAACUAUUUUCUCCAGAAGCCUUAACUACCUCUUCUCUUGAGGAUAGUUUACCUCCUUGUAAGUCAGACCCCACUGACCUGUCACAGUCAGAGAUACAAAAGGAUCACAAUACUGUAAAUGAAAUAAAGGCCUUCUCCUCAGAUCUGAUGGACAGUAGACAGUUUGGCAAAGACAGAAGCAUAAAUAUUGAGAGAAAAGUUGAGGCACCACUUGAAUCCUCAGAAACUGAAAUUGUUAAUGAGAUUCAAUCACAAACUCAGAUGCAAAAAGAAUCUCACAUGGAGAACAUCUCAACUUGCCCUGUGAUACUGAAUUUGAGCCCAUCUUUGACGUCAAACACGCAGAAAGGUCAAGACCCUGUCCUAACAUUUUUGGGAAUAUCCCCUCACUUUUUGACUCCAGGUUCACCCAUAGAAUUCAAGUCACCUCUCUUUUCUCCCUCUGUUAUCUUUAAGUCUCCCUCUUCAAUCACACUUAUGAAAUGUGUGUCUCCAAAAUCAGUCUCAGCUAAAACAUCAGGGAACAUCAAAAAUAGUAUCUCUGCAAAAAGUGGAGAUCAGGGAGGUUCUGAAACACAGAUUAGUCAAACUCAAAUUAGUCAAGAAACAAUGAUAGAAAUUCAAAAUACUGUGAAACCACAUACUUCAUCCCAAAACAACACCCCACUGGGAUAUGAAAACUUAAAUGGCCCAAGAACUAAGUCCUCAUGCAUCUUGGAAACUGAACAGAUACUUGAAUGCAGUCUUGAAAUGGAAAGUAAUCGUGAAUGUGGAAAUGAAAUCAGUUGCACACUGGAAAAUGAAGCUCAACUCCACAAUAUUCCUGAACCAGUGAGUUUUGAAUAAUCUGAAUCUGAAGUCCAAACCCAGAAUAAUUCUGAAAUGGACGUUCAAACCUAUAAAGGCUCUGAGCUUGGGUCUGAAUUCCAAAGAAUUGGCUUAAACCCAAAUGUGAAACGGUUUCAUUGUGGUAAUAAACUUGGUGCUGAAGGUCAAACUCCUGUUGAGACAACCUCUUUGGACACUUCCACCUAUCAGAGAACAGAAAGAAGGACUAGUUUUUAUAAUAACGGUACUCAAUUAGAGGAAUGUAACACUGAUGCAUCCAACAACCGGACACUACAUGAGGAAACCCCAAGUGGCACUUCAUUCUCUGAUGUAGUUUGUUGUCCUGUAGUCCUGCAGGAGAUGCAUACUGUUAAGGUGUUAUAAAUUAAAAUAAAUAAUUUGUUAAUAUGCAAUGCAGCGAUAUGUGCAUAAUUGUCCUAAGGUCUAAUUACCUGCAUAUGUUUGUGGGUGAUGAUUGUCUUUGUACUCAGGUGCUGGAGGGCAGAUGCGUGUUGGACUUGUGUUUGGUGCGGUGGCCAUCGGAGGAAUGGUGCAUAUGUGUGGCAGGAGACUGGACCGUUUGCCUUUGGACUCAGAUGAAGGGAGUUCAGUCGUGGAGUCUUUUACACACCUGGACAUUCACACAGGUAAACCAAUUUGCUACAGCAUUUCAGCAUAAAGGGUCAGUUAAAAGGUCAAUUCACCCAAAAAUAUCAUUUACUUUAAUCUUACAGACAUUAAUUAAAGUAUAAGUAAAAUAAAAACAAAAUAUAAGAUAUAUGUAAAAUAGAUCCCUCUGAUUUGACUUCUGUGUUUGUAUUUGUAGUCUGUCAUGUCUUUGCAAGAUAUUCCAGACUCUCCAGGAUUGCUUUGUGUGACUCUGGGUCACUUGGAAAUCACUGAGGCAAGGUAAUAAAAAUGGCAUAAUAUAAACACCAAAAUAACUAUUGGAUGAACCAAAACUAUGACAUUUUUCACUCCCUUCAACACAUUUUUUUUCAUUCUGAACACAAAUCCUAGGGCCACUGCACUGUGUUAUCUUCAAGAUUUGGUUUUUAUGUUGUAGAACUCAAACUUAAAAGCUAAUCUUAUUCCUUAUGUUUUCUUGAGUGCAGGAUUCUCUGCUGUCCAGGUAUGGAUGGGUCGUUCUCUCAGAACGCAGUGUGCAAUGACACGUUACAAGCAGUGUUAGGUGUGUCUAGUUGUCGGCUUGUGUGUUGCUCCACCCCUGGAGAUCAACAAAGAGUCAGUGUGUUAACAGUGACUCAAGAGGGAGGGUAAUAAAGCAUCAUGUUUAUGUUAAACACCUGUGUCUAUUAACUUUUUAAUGUAUCAUUGACUUGAAAUAUUUAAGCAAAACUAUUUAUUUACUUGCUUCAUUCAGGGUAGUGAACACUCUUCUCCUGGCCUCUGCUAAGCAGAACAUUCGGACCCUUGCAGCUGUAGAGGGGGAAAAAGAUGCUCUGAUUGGUUGGACAGAAUGUAAAACCCUCCUUAUAUGGUGAUGAAUUUGGCAACAUUGAGUUUUAAAUGUCUUGGAAAGUCUUUUUUUAACUGUAUCAAUCCUAUACAUCCUUUAAGGUAUAAUUAAAUUUGAUUAAAUUAAAAUUAGCUGAAAAUGUACUCACCUCCAGGCCUUCCAAAAUGUGUAAGUUUGUUUCUUUGGAACGGAUUUGGUGAAAUUUAGCAUUACAUGACUUGCUCAGCAAUGGAUCCUUUGCAGUGAAUGGGUGCCGUCAGAAUAAGAGUCCAAACAACUGAAUAAAAACAUCACAAUAAUUCACAAGUAAGCAACUAAUGUAAUCCACUUUGUGAGCAAGUGAUGUAAUGCUAAAUUUCUCCAAAUCUGUCCCAAUGAAGAAACAAACUCCUUUAUACUUGGAUGGCCUGAGAGUGAGUAAAUUGUAAGCAAAUUUUCAUGGCUGAAAUAUUCCUUUAAAUUUGAUCAAAUUAUUUUCUGAUGUGGUACUAAAGACUAAGCAGAAUUUAGAGUCAAUUUUGUAUGUGUUUUCAGCACAUUAUUUGUAGUUAUAUAUAUAUCUUUUGUUAGAAUUUGAAUUUUAUAAUUGAUUAUUGCUUUGGUCAUGCUUGCGAAUUUCAGGAACAUGAAAACAGGCCAGCUGCUUCAGACUAUAUACCUGGAAAGGACUUUAACCAUGACAAACUGCAUGAAGGGAUAUUCUUACAGAGUAAGCCAGUGUAUUGCUCUUGUGUCAGUGAGUGUGUGUUAAAAGAAUGAGUAUGUGCCAGUGAAUACAGUGAUAAACGCUUUCUUUCCUGCAGGGUGUGCUGUGUUACUUCAGAAUGCAGGAAAUGUGUGUGAUAAAGAGAUUAAUGCAUCUCCUUUUACUCUGAUUGCCACAAAUCCUCUCACUGGCAAACACAUCACACUGACUUCUAUCAACUAUCCUGAUCAAGACAAACAGCAGUAAGACUAGAAGCAAUACAUGUUGUAGUUUAAGAACACAAUGUUAGCAGAAAAAUCAAAUCAGUACAUAUUUGUCUCUUUAUCAGGGUUAAAGAUGGUAAUGUCUUGGGCUCUGGGCUUGUUGGUAUUUUCCAGUCUGGUCAUCUUGCUGUUUGGGAUCUCAGAAGAAGCGUGUGCUGGAUGAGUUACAGCUGCUGGCUGGAUAUCUGAAUGGGGAUGUUAGAGUGUUUCAUUAUACAUCUACAUAAAUAGACCAUACAUCUCUAAUCAGCAAAUUGUUUGCAAUCACUUUAUUAUUAUUCAUUAAUGCCAUGUUAAAUGAUAAAUAUAAAAAAAAUGUUACAGAAGGUGUUUGUUGAUUACAGUUAAUAUAAGCAUUACAAGAGAAAUAUUUGUACUGUUUGGAUGUGAUAUGUAAAGUAUAUUUUACAAAAUAAAAUAUAAAUCUGUGAAUCGACUUAAACACUUUUAAUGGCUUUAAUGUUGAGAUUAAAGUUUUUAGCUGAGAGAAUGUCAAACUGUAUAAAUCUGUAUUGUCCACAACUAAUAUGUAACGAAACAUUCAUAAUCACAUUUAUAUGAUAAUCAGAUGUGAGACGUGUGCGUGUGUAUACAACUGUUUUUAUACAGUCUAUGGUAUACACACAUUAAUAAAGAGG
rnacentral:lncRNA from 1 species